rnacentral:rRNA from 1 species
AGUGAACGCUGGCGGCAUGGAUUAGGCAUGCAAGUCGAACGGUGAAGGGAGCUUGCUCCCGGAUCAGUGGCGAAAGGGUGAGUAACACGUGAGUAAUCUGCCUCAAAGUUGGGGAUAGCCCCGGGAAGCUGGGAUUAAUACCGAAUGUGGCGGGUGUUCCGCAUGGAACGCUUGGCUGAAGGCUUCGGCCGCUUUGAGAUGAGCUCGCGUCCCAUCAGCUAGUUGGUGGGGUAACGGCCUACCAAGGCUAUGACGGGUAGGUGGUCUGAGAGGAUGGUCACCCACACUGGGACUGAGACACUGCCCAGACUCCUACGGGAGGCUGCAGUCGAGAAUCUUCCGCAAUGCGCGAAAGCGUGACGGAGCAAUGCCGCGUGAGGGAUGAAGGCUUUCGGGUCGUAAACCUCUGUCACCCGGGAUGACUACAGACAGUACCGGGAGAGGAAGCCACGGCUAACUACGUGCCAGCCGCCGCGGUAA